UAGGGCAGUGCAUACUGCGGUUGCUACGGAAAAUUUUUCUAAGUCUUUGACGUUUCGUGGCCUUGUUGUUUACGAUUCGGACUUAGAAAAGUUUUAGCAACUUUGGUUGGUUUCUGAGGACGGCAUGAUCGUGAACUUGGGAGUGAAAAUGGACAUUAAGGAACAUAUAAGGAAAAAGGAUGAUUUUAUGCAUUGAUACGCUAGGGAAACACGAUUCAAUCAGGAAUCAAACCAAGUUCAAAAAGAGCUGAUGACCUUGGCCAUAAGGAAAGGGUUUGCAAAACCCGCAUUGAGCAAAUUUAAUUCGGGAACAAGGCGCCUACAAUGGGUCGUUUGGGAAAGUUCUACGCUACUUUUGGAUUACCCGCAGACCGUCGGAUUACAAGAGUUGAACUACUGAUCAUAUACUGAAUAAGAUUUACGAUUGCUCCACAAUGACUUUCAAUCACUACGGUGCAGAUAUUAGAAAAGACAAGGACGCUGGCUGUAUCUUUCCCGCAAGGCCAAUCUGAACCUUCCAGUAAUGCCAACUCUGAGCCAUUAUGUUUGCCGAUUAACAAGCACAAGCAUCGUCAUGCCGAAAUCUAAAUAAAAGAGAAAAAAAACUCCAUGAUUUAUUUUCUAAGGUUUACCAGGAGUUCCUGUUGGGACCGCUUCAGGUGCUCCUUCUUGAAUUCCUGCAGGGGUUCUUUCAUGGAUUCCUCAAGGAUUUCCUUCAGCGUUUCCUCCAAGGGUUUCUUCUGAAUUUACACCAGAAGUUCCUUCUUAUUCCUUCCAGGAAAUUCAACCGGAUUUUCUAACGGAAUUUUUCUAGAAGUUCCUUACAGGAUUCCUCCAAAAGUUCUUCCGAAAGGGUUCCUUCCGGGAUUCAUUUCUAGAUUCGUUCAGGAAUUCGUACCGGAAUUCUUCCAGGACUUCAUACCGGAAUUCUUCC